CGCAGCCGCGGUAAUUCCAGCUCCAAUAGCGUAUAUUAAAGUUGUUGCAGUUAAAAGCUCGUAGUUGAAUUUCGGGAUCAAUUAAUUGGUCGUGCCUCUGGUACGUACUGAUUUUAUUGGUUUCUCCCUUCUGACGAACCAUGAUGUCAUUAAUUUGGUGUCGUGGAGAAUCAGGACUGUUACUUUGAAAAAAUUAGAGUGUUUAAAGCAAGCUAACGCUUGAAUACAUUAGCAUGGAAUAAUGAAAUAGGACGUUUGAUCCUAUUUUGUUGGUUUCUAGGAUCGACGUAAUGAUUAAUAGGGAUAGUUGGGGGCAUUAGUAUUCAAUUGUCAGAGGUGAAAUUCUUGGAUUUAUUGAAGACUAACUACUGCGAAAGCGUUUGCCAAGGAUGUUUUCAUUAAUCAAGAACGAAAGUUAGGGAUCGAAGACGAUCAGAUACCGUCGUAGUCUUAACCAUAGACUAUGCCGACUAGGGAUCGGAUGAUGUUAAUUUUUAUGUACUCAUUCGGCGCCUUAAC
rnacentral:misc_RNA from 1 species